GUGCAGCAGUCGCGAAAACUCUGCAAUACGCGCAAGCGUGACAGGGCUACCCCGAGUGUCGUCCGCUGAGGACGACUUUUCCACGCUGUAAGGAGGCGUGGGAAUAAGGAGAGGGCAAGUCUGGUGUCAGCCGCCGCGGUAAUACCAGCUCUCCGAGUGGUAGGGACGUUUAUUGGGCUUAAAGCGUCCGUAGCCGGCUCAACAAGUCCACCGUUAAAUCCAACGAUUCAAUCGUUGGACUGCGGGAGAUACUGCUGAGCUAGGAGGCGAGAGAGGCCGAAGGUAGUCCCGGAGUAGGGGUGAAAUCUUAUAAGUCCGGGAGGAACACCAGUGGCGAAGGCGGUCGGCUAGAACGCGCUCGACGGUGAGGGACGAAAGCUGGGGGAGCGAACCGGAUUAGAUACCCGGGUAGUCC
rnacentral:rRNA from 1 species